UGAUGAAUUAAAUGGCCGCAGUAUUUUAACUGUGCAAAGGUAGCAUAAUCAUUAGUCUUUUAAUUGGAGGCUGGCAUGAAUGAUUGGACGAGGCAUCUGCUGUCUCAGAAAAAAUUUUUUUUUGAAUUUUAUUUUUCAGUAAAAAAGCUGAAAUUUUUUUUAAAGACGAGAAGACCCUAUAGAUCUUUAUAAUUUUUUAUAUUGUUUUAAAAUAAUAAAAUUUUUGUUUCAAUAUUCUAAAUUAUUUUGUUGGGGUGACAUUAAGAUUUUAUAAACUCUUAUUAAUUUAUACAUUAAUAUAUGGCUUUUUGAUCCUUUAUUAUGGAUUAAAAAAUUAAGUUACCUUAGGGAUAACAGCGUAAUUUCUUUGGAGAGUUCACAUCGAUAAAGAAGUUUGCGACCUCGAUGUUGGAUUAAGAUUAAUUUUGGGGGUAGAAUUUCAAAGUAUUAAGUCUGUUCGACUUUUAAUUUCUUACAUGA
rnacentral:rRNA from 1 species